rnacentral:lncRNA from 1 species
AGGAGGGUUAAAGUUUAAUUAGAUUAAUAAUUUUAUACAGAACAGACAUGUUCAAGAUGGAGUCCAUCAGUAGUUUGUUGUUGUAUUUAUGCAGCUGAGAUCAAAUCAUCACAAAAUGUUACCUUUUAUUAUUUCAGUGUUUCUCGGUGGUCAGAUCUUUCUAAAGGAAUCAGGUUCUUUGUGAAUCUGUUCUGUGCAGCAGCAGAGAGAGAACAGCAGACAGGAGAGAAGACACUGGAGCUGUUAUCAUCAGUGUGCAGAGAUCAAACAUUCCCUUUAAAAGACAUGUAUGAUGAUGAAUAUCAGAGCGAUUUCCUGCUGGAUCUGUACUCCCACCUGAAGGACUGUGAGACUAAAACAGGUCUGAGUCUCCUUCCAUCAUUACAGUCAGUUUUCCAGUCAGCUCCUGCAGUCUGGAUCAUAAACCUCUCAGAGAGAAAGAGCUCCAUCCUCCUGGAAGUGCUGAAACUCCAAUCAGAGAAGAAACAAGUGGAGCUGACAGGCUGCUCAGAUGAAGAGAGUGAAGUGAGGAGUUUCCUACAGUGUCUGCCUUAUAUCUCACAGCUCAGUGUUCCUCGGUGGUCAGAUCUUUCUAAAGGAAUCAGGAUCUUUGUGAAUCUGUUCUGUGCAGCAGCAGAGAGAGAACAGCAGACAGGAGAGAAGACACUGGAGCUGUUAUCAUCAGUGUGCAGAUACAAAACAUUCCCUUUAAAAUAUGAGGAGGAUUAUAAUAUUGUCAACUUAAAUGAAUAUCAGAGUAAUUUCCUGCUGGAUCUGUACUCCCACCUGAAGGACUAUGAGACUAAAACAGGUCUGAGUCUCCUUCCAUCAUUACAGUCAGUUUUCCAGUCAGCUCCUGCAGUCUGGAUCAUAAACCUCUCAGAGAGAAAGAGCUCCAUCCUCCUGGAAGUGCUGAAACUCCAAUCAGAGAAGAAACAAGUGGUGCUGAGAGGCUGCUCAGAUGAAGAGAGUGAAGUGAGGAGUUUCCUACAGUGUCUGCCUUAUAUCUCACAGCUCAGUGUUCCUCGGUGGUCAGAUCUUUCUAAAGGAAUCAGGAUCUUUGUGAAUCUGUUCUGUGCAGCAGCAGAGAGAGAACAGCAGACAGGAGAGAAGACACUGGAGCUGUUAUCAUCAGUGUGCAGAUACAAAACAUUCCCUUUAAAAGACAUGUAUGAUGAUGAAUAUCGGAGUAAUUUCCUGCUGGAUCUGUACUCCCACCUGAAGGACUAUGAGACUAAAACAGGUCUGAGUCUCCUUCCAUCAUUACAGUCAGUUUUCCAGUCAGCUGCUGCAGUCUGGAUCAUAAACCUCUCAGAGAGAAAGAGCUCCAUCCUCCUGGAAGUGCUGAAACUCCAAUCAGAGAAGAAACAAGUGGAGCUGACAGGCUGCUCAGAUGAAGAGAGUGAAGUGAGGAGUUUCCUACAGUGUCUGCCUUAUAUCUCACAGCUCGGUGUUUCUCGGUGGUCAGAUCUUUCUAAAGGAAUCAGGUUCUUUGUGAAUCUGUUCUGUGCAGCAGCAGAGAGAGAACAGCAGACAGGAGAGAAGACACUGGAGCUGUUAUCAUCAGUGUGCAGAUACAAAACAUUCCCUUUAAAAGACAUGUAUGAUGAUGAAUAUCGGAGUAAUUUCCUGCUGGAUCUGUACUCCCACCUGAAGGAUUAUGAGACUAAAACAGGUCUGAGUCUCCUUCCAUCAUUACAGUCAGUUUUCCAGUCAGCUGCUGCAGUCUGGAUCAUAAACCUCUCAGAGAGAAAGAGCUCCAUCCUCCUGGAAGUGCUGAAACUCCAAUCAGAGAAGAAACAAGUGGAGCUGACAGGCUGCUCAGAUGAAGAGAGUGAAGUGAGGAGUUUCCUACAGUGUCUGCCUUAUAUCUCACAGCUCAGUGUUUCUCGGUGGUCAGAUCUUUCUAAAGGAAUCAGGUUCUUUGUGAAUCUGUUCUGUGCAGCAGCAGAGAGAGAACAGCAGACAGGAGAGAAGACACUGGAGCUGUUAUCAUCAGUGUGCAGAUACAAAACAUUCCCUUUAAAAUAUGAUAAUGAUGGAUAUCAGAGUUAUUUCCUGCUGGAUCUGUACUCCCACCUGAAGGACUGUGAGACUAAAACAGGUCUGAGUCUCCUUCCAUCAUCACAGUCAGUUUUCCAGUCAGCUCCUGCAGUCUGGAUCAUAAACCUCUCAGAGAGAAAGAGCUCCAUCCUCCUGGAAGUGCUGAAACUCCAAUCAGAGAAGAAACAAGUGGAGCUGAGAGGCUGCUCAGAUGAAGAGAGUGAAGUGAGGAGUUUCCUACAGUGUCUGCCUUAUAUCUCACAGCUCAGCUGUGAUCCCGAGUUCUUCCAGAGAGUGUGUUCACUGAUCUCUGUCAGAUCCAGAGAGGAGGCCGAGCAGUUGGCCUCUGUGCUGCAGCUGCUGGGCUUCAGCCUGCUGUUAACAGGAGACUUACGCAGGAAAACCUGCCGGUCUGUGGGGACAGUUGUCAGACUUUGUGGCUCUGAUGUAAAUCUCAUCCUCACACCAAGAAAGAUGUCUGUCAGAGGAGCCUCCCUCCUCUUUAGACGUACAACACAACUUCACAGUCUGAAGCUUUCCAUAGACAUGACCUUGUUAAUGUGUCGAUGGGUCAGAAGAGGGAGAGUGGCCUGUCGGCUGACUAUGGAAGAGCUUUCUCUCUCCUCUCAGACUGCCCAGCCAUCAGAGAGAGUGUUGUUGAAGGUUGUCAGUAGUUUGGCUUCCCUGCUGAGAUACUGGACAGUCAGACGGUUAGACCUGACGGAGUUCUGUGUUCCUGCUCAGGGUCUCAUUCCUCUGCUGCUUCAUGAUGGUCCUCUAACAAUCAAACUGAGUGAGAAGGUUUUGCAGCCGCUACUCUCCCUCCUCCAUGAAAUCCAGGAUGAGGCCUUGACCCGUUCCUUCUUGAGGAAGGUUGGUGGAGAGCUGACGUCCUGCUGUCUGAACUGGGAGCUCCUUCACUAUCUGCUGCUGCAGUCGUCAGCUCACACCAUCACUGUGAACAUGAGGAAGAACCGCUUCUUACAGGAGAGCGUCACACGUCUGCUUCCCUUUCUGGACAGGAUUGUGUUCAAAAAACCCUGUUCCAGCUUUGUGUUGACCACCAUCAGAGAGAUCUAUAAAGCUGGAGCCAGUCCCGUUAUACCCAGUUUACUGAGGUCAUUGGAUGAUGUCAUCAACCUGACCUGCAGAGAGAUGGACUCGGAGGACUUUGCUGCUCUGCUCUUCACCCUCAGACACAGUGACCGAGUUCAACUGAACCUCACGUGGACCUCCAUACCAGCAGGGGAAAUAAAGUCCAUCCUCUUAAUGCUGGACAAAGUCUCUCAUCUCAGUGUUGACAGGAAUCAGCUGCUGAGGUUGGUCCACUGCUGCGCUGCCUCUGAGGCCCAGCAGGGGGCAGCAGCCGGCCUGCUCAGGACUCUGCAGCACAGGCUGGAUCUGUCCUGCUGCUCCAGUGUGGAGCUGGAUCAUCAGAGUGACUCUCUCAGUCUGACUGCUGAGGACUGCAGGGCCGUCUCCACCAUCCUGACACACAGCAGCAGAGACACACAGCUCAUCCUGCAGGACUGUGAGCUGGAGGACAGCGGCCUGGACCUGCUGUUUCCUGUCCUGCACAGAGUCCGUCUCAGAGCCAGUAAAGCUGUCCUCCUCCGGCUGGUGUCCCUGGUUCCUGUGAACAGUGAGAGGGACUCAGUGAGACGGGCAGUGUCCCUCCGUACAGCCCUGGAUGGAGAGCUGGACCUCAGUCACAGCACACUGGAUCAGAGGGCCUGUGGAGCUCUGGCCCUGAUGCUGGACUUCAGUGAAGAGCUGCCAGAGCUGGACCUGAGUCACUGUGGACUCACUGAUCAGCUGCUGCUCACACUCAGCGCACAUCUGCACAAAGUACAAGUCCUGGAUCUGAGUCACAAUAACAUCACGGAUGCUUCAACUGACAUGUUACUGCGACUGUCCAUCAACCCCUCCACUGACACCGUGCGGUGAGCAUUCUUUAAUUAGUGUCCCAUUCAUUCAAUUAAGAGGAAAUGAAUGACUUCAGAUCACUUCAAUGAACCGCUCCACAUAUGAUUCUGUGUGAUUGUGUCUGCUCUCUCUGUUUGGUGUUUUCUAGACUCUUCGGGAACAACAUUGUGGACAGAACCUCCUUUAAGGAAGACCAGCGCUUUGAGAUCUGGUGAAGCAGUCGUCAGUGUGUAAGAUCUCCUUCUACCACCUCAGGAACAUUUCCAAACUCCGUCUCACACUCUGUCAGAUGCAGAAUAACACCGUCCACAGCUUUGCCUCCUGAAGGUGGGACUACUGUAACGUUCUCGUCAUCAGGACUUCUAGCUGAGCCUUCGAGAGCUUCACUACAUCCAGAACAGCGCCGCUAGGAUCCUAAUGAAGGUACGAAAAUACCACCACAUCACACCCAUCCUUCACUCUCUCCACUGGCUUCCUGUCUCGUUCAGGAUCAAGUACAACAUCUCGCUGCUCACCCAUCAGUGUAUCCAUGGAAACGCCCCUCCCUACCUCACACCACAAACCUCCUGACGUGACCUCCGCUCCAGAAACAAAGUCCUUCUUCUGCUCAGCCGCUCCUCUUCUGUGGAGUUCCUCCCAGACCACCUGAGGGCUCCUUCAGGGACACAAACAUAUUUCUCUUUCAGAAAGCCUUCUCCUAAACUUUGUAUUUUUAUGCUCCUGUUUUUAAUAUUGUUUACUCUGUAGCACUUUGGGAUUGCUUUUAACAAAGAAAAGUGAAACAUCAGGAUUUAUCUCUUUUAUUUAUGAUGACUGAGAUUGUUCUGUUGGGAUCAUCUUUAUAAUGACUGUUUUUGUAUUUUGUAAUAACACGUCAGGAUCUCAGGAGAAUUAUCUUAAAAUGUGAAUAUGAGUAUGAUUUUAGUUUUGGUUUUAAAGAGACUGACUUUGUGUCAGGAACAGACCUCGUUCUGAGACUCGGAGACCCAGGUUCAUAUUUUCUGGAAAUGCAAUAACUAUUCUAAAGUCUUGUGAAAUGUAGAGCUCUAAAUAUGUUCAAUAAAUACUUGAUAUGAAAGGGUCAAACGCCUGCAGCCACAUUAAAUGUAAUGCUGUAUUUUGACAUAUGUUUGAUUUACAGUAGUUAUUACAAUCAUGUUAGAGAGUAUUCAUCUUUUAUAACAGAAACCUACUGGUUCAUAAGGUCUUUACAAAAGUUGUUUUUGGAAAUAAUCUGAUUUAUGCAGCAUUUAGAAGUCUGUAUCUGUUGAGAAUGAAGCGUUUAAAGUGAACAACUGAGUUUGAACUUAAAUAAAAG